rnacentral:rRNA from 1 species
UGGGGAAUAUUUGCACAAUGGGCGCAAGCCUGAUGCAGCCAUGCCGCGUGUAUGAAGAAGGCCUUCGGGUUGUAAAGUACUUUCAGCGAGGAGGAAGGCACUGUGGUUAAUAACCACAGUGAUUGACGUUACUCGCAGAAGAAGCACCGGCUAACUCCGUG